GACGAACGCUGGCGGCGUGCCUAAUACAUGCAAGUCGAACGCAGUGGGGAUGGGUGCGUAACACGUGGGUAACCUCCCAUCAGAGGGGAUAACACUUGGAAACAGGCGCUUAACCGAAACUGGAGGAUGUACCCGCGGUGCAUUGGCCUGUUGGUGGGGUAACGGCUCACCAAGGCCACGAUGCCUAGCCGAGCUGAGAGGAGGACCGGCCACACUGGGACUGAGACACGGCCCAGACUCCUACGGGAGGCAGCAGUAGGGAAUCUUCGGCAAUGGACGAAAGUCUGACCGAGCAACGCCGCGUGAGUGAAGAAGGUUUUCGGAUCGUAAAACUCUGUUGGUAGAGAAGCGGUAUCUAACCAGAAAGCCACGGCUAACUACGUGCCAGCAGCCGCGGUAAUAC
rnacentral:rRNA from 1 species